rnacentral:snRNA from 1 species
GCUUUGACCGGGUCAACGAUAA